GCAUAUUUAAGAGGCUUAUUUCAUUACCUAUUUCCCCUGAGUUCUUUUCUCCUCCCAUAUAGACUUGCCUAUCUAUAUAUGGCCUUAAUUUCUAGACUAACAAGUAGUUUUUUAUUCUGCCUCAUUUACCGAAUGAGCAUUCCCUUGUUACCUUGCCCGAGGUCAUGCAUGAGUUCCCAGAAAAUUGAAAGUUAGUCUGCAUUCCCUGGUCACAUCCUACCCAACAAAGCAGUUUCACUGCAGCAUAGAAUCCCCUGGUGCAUAAUUGAGACCUAACUUCAGCCAACAGGAACAUGAUAUUGGAGCUAUGAAGGUGGACCCUGCCUUUAUACAGAUAAUAGCAGAGUGGAGAACACUGACAGUAAAUGAGUCUUCACAACAAAUUACUUCUAAACAGGGUAAUGUCAACUCCCUCCUCCAGCUGUUCCAGGCAGUUAUCUUUACCAGCUGUUUACCAUCGUCAACAAUGACAUACUUCUGCAUGUCUGAAAUAUGUGAAACUUCAAAACGGCCCUUUCAUGUUUCUACCCAAGAUUAUCCCUUAACUCCAAGAGAAGAGUGACACAAUCAGUCUUUGUCACCAUCAUAUGCCUGGCUCCUAGAAGACUGAAAGAUGAUAAUGAGUAUCUGUUGAAUGAAUGCCUGUAACCCUGAAGGUCACCAUUAAAGGACAACAGACAACUUGUCCUCAAACAUAAGGAAGUGCAACUAAAGAGACUAUCAAAAAAAAAAAAAAAGAAACCUCAGCCCUUUCACCCUCCCUUUCAACCCAAAGUCAGCAAAUACAGUGUUCAUUAAGUUGUGAGUGAAAUUUCAAAAUUGUCAGCAACAAAAAUAUUUUGUGUACCUACCACAUUAAAACACACUUCUAGGUGCCAGGGGAAAUAAAACUUCUAUAUGUUAAAGUUCUGACUCCUCAGAAGCUCACAGUACAGACAUAAAAUUCCAAUACAAAGCAGGCUUUGCAAAUAAUGGAAUGGAAACACAAAGUUUUG
rnacentral:lncRNA from 1 species